AUAAAACUGAACUCAAAAGUAAUUUUACUGGCUGUUAUCUUUGCUCCUUCCCACAAAAAAAAAAAAAACACCUAACAAAAUCCCAGCCCCAAGGCCUUCCCCUGACAUCUGGUAGAAACAUUGACAUCUUCAGAGCUCAAUACAGUGUGCCACCACCCUCCUGGCUGGGAGCAGCAAUGCACUCUGUACGGACUUGAACACUUCCUGUCCAAAAGGGGCCAUGGCUGCUCUGCCUGUUGUUAACAGGUGGUGUUGCCUCUGACUCCAAAGCAAAGGGAUGAGCAGAUGUCAGUACCUGAGGAAUGCUCAAAAGGAAAUUCUUCAUUUUGGAGAAGAGGAGCAAGAACAUGGCAUAGCACAGUAAAGCCUUUCCUCUGCAUUUCUCCAUCGGUUUCAGCUUCCAUUCCUCAACCCCCAGAUGGCACAAGAUACAGCGUGAGAGGUUGUUUGUGCAGUCUGAGCUUGAAGCAUGCACUAAAUGGCCAGUGGAUGAGAAGUGCUAAAACGCUCGUGUUUCUGAGGAUUGUGUUGCUUCUACGUGUGAUCUGAAGGAAGCGUUGAGAUACAACACAUUGGAUAGAAUUCCCUCAGAAUGAAUGCAUAAGUCAUAUCUGGAGAUGCAAAGAUGCACACAAAGAAUGCAGAAAUACACAGGUGGAAAGUCAGAAAAAAAAAGGUAGAUAUAAAACUCAACAAUUUUACGUAAUUUGCCAAUACCACGUUGUAUUUGAAGCUUGAGUACGUUUCACCAUUCCAUGCUUGCUACUCGCUGCUGCCACCAUGUGUUACUGCAAAUUCCUCCUGAAGUGAUAGGGCCCCUUGAAACAGAAAGGUGCGCUGCUGUGCCUGGGAAGGACCUGAAAACUGGUAAGACACUACCCAAGAGAAAAGCUGAGAAAUAGGAAAGCCAUUCCUUGGAACGGUGGGCAUUACUGGAAACAGUACAAUAGACUUGAGAAGAGCGCCCUGUAAACAAAAGAGUUGGAUUUAGCAUUGAGGAGUCAUGCUAUUUGAUCCAAACAGACAUUACAGGUAUGCACUGGGAAGUGUCAGAAUACCACAGUGUGUACAAGGAAAUUUUUGAGAAAACGGAAACAGUGUUGUCACGGCAUUUUCACAGUAGUACAAGGCAAGAGAACAAGAGAAAACAGACAUGCCUUGAAAGAUUAGAAGUUCUGACUAGAUAAAUGGAAACAGCAUGAGGGCCAUCAAGAAUGGAAAGACACUGCCCAAAGAAGAAGUUAAGAAAAUAUUCAUUGCAUCAAGAGCCACAAGAGCCACAAGAAUGAGCAACGUGAUUGACAGAAGGUUUUAAAAGAAUUGUGACAUUUUUGGCUAAAGCAAUCAUAGGAUCGCAGUGCAGUAGAAAUGGCUUUGGGAGAAAGUUGAAACCAUGCUGAACCCUCUCAUUUAUCUGCAAAAACAUAUUACUCACGUGGCAACAAUACUGACACUGUAUUGAACUGUUAUAUAGUAUCGUCCGCAAUUCAUUUUGGAUAAGAAAAGUAAAAUGUGAUUCAUCUAGUGUGCUCUGUUCCCCAAACAUAUAGUGUGCUAUCCAGUUGGUUUUUACAAUGCAAUAUAUAGGAGAUCGAAUCCCAGUGAGAUAGUUUCAUGAAUUUAUCACUUAUGGCUACAGAUAUGGUAUACUGUGGCAAUUAUCAGUUUGCAAGAAUAAGAUCUCUCUGCUUCAGAGUACCACGGUCACGACAAUGCAUCAACUAUAUGAUGACAUUACACACUUUUAUAGGCACAAUUAAAAAGACUGAAUGAGUUUGCUGAGUGUGUUCUCUGUAUGGGGUAAUGCUUAACUGUAAUAAUUAUAUAUUGAAUGAUGCAUGCGAGUUAUGUCGCGUGACCUGAUUAGUCAGAAAUAGUGUUUCCACUCUUUGGAAUGAGAUUGCUAUCAGUUGCAAUAAAACAAGCAAGACUCUACUUGAUGUGAACUGUGUGCUGCUAACAUGGUUGAGCCUUUGAACUUGUAUAUAAGACAUUUGAGAGACUAAUUCUAAGGAGCUGAAAUGGAGGUAGAGCGAACAGUUUCAGAACCUGACUGCAAUGACAGGAAUGGAGGAUGAAACACAGCACUGUUGAGAAGAGCCUUUGUUGCAAGGAUCAGACGUGGCAGAUUCUGCAAGCCUGGCAGCCCUGGCGGCAUAGCUCUGCUGGUUUAAUUACCAGUGCUGCUCACAGGGUGGAGGAAACCUUCAUAGUAGUGGGAGAACCACAGGUCAAUCUCCUGGCUGGUCCCAAACCGGCCCAGCUCAAAUGCUUUGUCAGCUAACGUUGCAGCUUCAUAUAAGAGGGCACAGGAAGGUAUAAUAAGACUCUGUAGAUGCAGGUUGAAACCAGACGAGUUCAGACUACAAAUUAAGUGAAAGCAUUUUUGCCUAUCAAUGAAGGUAAGUAAACAUUAACAAGGGCUGAAGUGGAUUUUCCACGAUUGGAAAGCUUAACAUUAUAAUUGGUUGAUUUUCUAGCACCAAACACUGGUAGCAAAUUUUGCACAGGAAUUAAGAGAGAAGCAUUCUUUGCUCUGUGCCUUGUAUGAGAUCAGGCCAGUCUUUUCUGACCCAGGUUGUUGAUUACCCUACAGCAAACUCUCCUGCCCUCAAUAAGGAGAAAUUAGUGAACUGAAACCUAACUGCAUAUGCCUCAGGUUCCAGCAAAACCCUUUUAUACUAAAAGCUAUUUUCCCGGCUAUACUUUGUAUAUAAUAGCAUGUUAGAUAUGGGACAUCCAUUGGAGCCUUUUACAUUACAUACUCUUUGGUAAUUGAUGCAGUGUCUAAUGGACUCAUCUAGUGUAGGAGUGAAAACAAUACAUUCUGUGAAAAGGUUUAUGCUCAGACCCUAGAACAGGUUAGUACAGCUUCUUUUCCAUCUCUUGAGAUCACACUCCCUGCUGGCUUUUCCUGUGAAAUCUCUCAAGCAGAGCUCCCAUCUGCCUACAACGCUUUGCGGAGGGGCCAGGACCUCCAAUUUCUGGAUUCAAGGAUUGGGGCUCUUGCUGCUCUCGCCUUCUUCCAGAAGAGGAGGUUUGCCAGGCCACCUCUGCCAUGCAGGACUAUCUUGCUGAUCAUGAGCAAGACUGUGUGCUCUCCUAAUCCUUAGGCCAGAUUGGAUUGGGCUCUGGGCAACCUGAUGAAAUGGGUGGCAACCCUGUCCAUGGCAGGGGAGUUGGAACUGGACGGUCUUUAAGGUCCCUUCGAACUCAAACUAUUAUAUGAUUCUAUGAUUACAUGAUUCUAUGAGUCUACGAUUGUCAUCCACCCUGGGGAACCUAAGGGCAGCACAGAAACAAAGCAUUAAAGGACCUGGAGAUGCUUAUUGCUGAAAGUGAGGCAGUUAUUGAAAUGCUUUGCUGAAUCAAAGCCCUUGGACUCUUUCAACAAAUAGUCAGAUAUCGUUGUCUCAUGUGGCACUUGGCUGCAACCUGUACAGCCUGUUUCUCUGAAGAGCUAUAAUGAGAAAGUCGUAGUGUACCAAGUAGGAGAUAAAAGAAUAAAUCUCAAAGUUUACCUUUGCUUUGCUUUAAUUUCUUCUGCUGUCAUCAAAGAGAUGACAAAAGUUGUUCUUAGGGAAUUUAAAUAUUAAUACAGGCUAAAAUGCAGGUGAAACCAACAACAAGGGAAACAUUUUACUAAUCUAUAAACUAGACAGAGUAAUCUACCAACUGGGAAUAAUGCUAAGUAGGCACUUUAAGUUACUGUUCGGAAUGAGUUUGAUCAAUUCACUCCAAGCCACAUUAGUCUCAUAAAAGCUGAGAGUAGCAUUUUCUCCCAAGGGUUUCCUUUGAGGGAUAUUCCUCUCAGAGUGCAGUAUCACAGGGGCAAUUAAGGAUGAUAAUGUUUUUUGCAUAUACUAAGCAAUUGACUAGUCAACAUUGAUCAAGAUAGGCUUUCGUCAUUUUUUAAAAUGCUCUUCCAAGUUCACAGUACAGUUGCUGUCUGAGAUAACAGACGCAGUAGUGAGUAGUUAGUAUUAUUAUACCAUGACUCUGUGAAGUAUUUUAGACAAGCAAAUAGCUUCCAGGAAGCUAGUAGGAAAAAAUAGUGUUCUCAUUAAUAGUGUGUGUGUGCGCUCUUGGCCAGGUGGAAAAGAAAAUGCUUGGAAAUAUUAUGGAUUUUUCUGGCAUCAGUGGCAUAUUCUCACUCUUCCCUCCCAGAUAAAUUGGCAUUAAUGCUCCCAGUCUCAAUGAUGACUACAAGCUCAUUACAGAUGCUGCUUUGCUUGUACAUCAUUACUGUCCCACAAGAAUGCAAUGUAUUGCCUAGAAAGGAUUUCUGGAUGUUUUCCCUGAUAUAAAAUCACAGAGGCUUAUAUUUAGUCCUUUCCCUGAUGACAAUCCUACCUGCAUAUAUUCUCUCUCUUUCUUUCUCACAGACGUACACACGCUUGACUUUGAACUCUGACAUUUAUCUCAUGACAUAAAUUCUUUCAAUUAACCAACACAAUGCAUUAGUGUAAUCAUUAGUCCUAGCCUGCAUUCUCCUUUGGAAUAGCUAAGCAGAGUUGUAGUAAUGUUGUCACGAUGCAUAUUGUAUACAAAAUUUGAAACUAGGAUGGAAAGUGUUAUUGGUGAAGGUCUUGUUAUGGUAAUGUCCUUGCUCCAAGGUUAUUUACAUAAAAAGCUGUCUUGUCUUUGUAAGAAUCGUGCUUGCCUCUGUGCUUCCAGCAUAACAACACUAUGCAUUACCUUUCUCUCUGAAGGAUCAUGGUGCCUUCUGUUUAUAAACUUUCUGCCCAUUAGGACAAUUUAAGCCUUAAAACAAGUGAAACGGUACAUUCAGGGUGACCUUGAGAGUGCAGGGCCACAAAAUGGAAACAGAAAAUCCAGCAUGAUUAGAAGCAGCUCAGUUCUGGGCUCAUUUGCAUAUUUUAGACUUUUUCAUUCUCUAGACACCAAACUACUGUGUGAUACAAUGUUAACUAAGGCUUGACAAAUCCCUGGUAGCACCCAGACAUAUGCAGUCCAGAAGAGUAAUAACUCCCAUCAUGUUCCUAACAACGAAGUUCAACUUAGCCAAGGUAAUUUUUUUCCUCAUGAAAUAUGAGGGGACCCAGAAGGAUCUGGCAAUGUGACCAAGCACCGUGGAAUCACAAGGCAGGACUUCCACCAACAUUCCUCAUUGGUCAGUUCUAAAUGGUCUGUGCUAAGUACUACGCUAACUCCCAGCACCUGAGUGCCCAAACAGCUCCUGGGUUGUGGCAGGAGCAGACCAUACACCGGCCUUAUUGCUUUGGUGACAGGGAGACAAGACAUCAUUCUUCACAGUUACCGGAGCAAGGAUUCUUAGAGCAGCAGCGUUCGUAUCUCCUGUCCUGACUCUUUGCAAGGGCAGCCUGAGUCCUCAUUAGGACCAUGACUCUUCAGAGCAAAGAUCUCUGCUGCUGAAGAGGGAGACACCAUUAAUUAAAUGAGCACUCACUGAUGGAUGGUACUGAAUUAUGGUAGUUUUAUCACUGAAACCAUAGAAUCAUUGAAUGGCUUGAGUUAGAAGGGACCUUAAAGAUCACCUAGUUCCAAUCCACUAAUGAUAUUUUAUAAGAAGUUCUCGACAGUCUUUUCUAGACAAUCCAGCAUUGUUUCUAGCAUGGAGAGAGCAAUGGAGCUGCUUAGUAAGAGUUGCUUAUUCCAGACAUGAGGUAUUCACGCCCCUAGCAAUAAUUAACAUACCCUCAAGAAAGUGCUGGGGGCUGGGAGCCUUCCCACUGCUCUGUGAUAAUAGCCUUAGUCACACUUUACAGUACUGUGCUACUUCCACACAUUUACCCAUAGCGAAUCACUUGUUUCUAGGGUGAUUCACAGCCACGGCUGCUUCCCGUCCUCCUGGGGCUUUUCUACAGUGUGAGGCUUCCCACAGGCUCAGUGACACUCCUGCCACGGGUCUGUCCUUGGCUUCCAGCCUGAGCUUCUCUGCUGGCCAGAGUGGUGCGAGGGUGGCAAAGAGAGCAGAUUGGCCUGGCCCCGCGGAAUGUCAUGUUUCACCAAUGGGAUGCUGUCAGGGAGAAAACAGCAGCUUGGGUCAUUGUAGCACUACCUCCAUAGAUCUAAGAAGUGACAUGAACCGCAUGUUACAGCCACAUGAAGCCUGUUCAUUGUGAAGUGGAGAGCUCUGGCGCAGCAGGAAAGAGCAGACCCUAAUGAGGAGCCCAUUCAUGUGCUGGGGAGGAACAGCUCCCCAAGGGCAGGAAGUGGCAUCCUCAGGGCCAACAGAUUUGCAGUUAUUCAGGUAUGUUCUAUCAGCUGUGCAGGAAAAUAAAUGGAAAUGCCACGAUUUCUAGGGGUUUUAUAACCAUUGUCAGUGCUGCGCACAUUAUAAGGAAUGAUAACCCAUCUAAAUGAAAGACUUUGGGAUGCAGACAGAUACAGAACUUCAAUUUUCUAGUGAAAAUUCGGGGAUUUACUCUAAGCUUCUGCUCUCGAAAUUAUGGGAUUACGAAGUUUUACUUGAAAUAUCUUUCUUCUGAUCUGAAAAGUUACAUGGAAAAGCUUUAACACUGGAA
ensembl:lncRNA